CCCAAUGGGAGGGUGCGCUUCCUUGCCCCGGUCCGCUGGGCCUGCUGGGGGUUGUGGUUUGGCCCUUAGCCCACGGCCGCUCGUCUUCUUUCGCUCUUCCGAGUAUGAGCAAAGCGUGCAGUCUGUGGGUGGCUUGGCUUUCUCGAGAUUUGCUCCCUGCCAGAGUGCGGACUGGACCCUGGCCUGUCUAGCUUAAAAAGGACUUAUUCUCCGUUAAUGUGAAGGAAAUCUCCACCUAAGCCUUCCGGGGCAGGAGUUUGUGGCCCACAUAAGAGCCUGGCUCCCGACCCUCCCAUAGGAUAGAGGAGCAGUAAUCACACGCUCGUCCUCUUUUCCUUCUGAUGAGUUUUCAAAUUAGCCAUUCCCAGCUCAAGAAAAUCACUGGUAAAUAGGAUCCCUCUGGCUUCCGUGUGGAGAAUAGGCUGAAGGUGAAAAGGGCAGAAGCAGGCCAGCUGGUUAGGAGACUGCCUGGAAAGAUGGAAGAAUGUGGGAAGAGCAAUUUUGGCAGGAAGAAGAGGAGCUCAGUUUUCGGAGGGGGAAACUGCUGAAGAUGCUGAAAGAGUCAUUAAAGAAUUUGCCCUGAGUCACACCAGCAAGAGAGCAACGGGGCUGGAACAGAUCCCAGCCUCUGGAUACAAUCAGGCCUUUUCACUUCAGCUGCAACUUCUUCACAGCACCUCAGGUUCUGAAAUGGCCACUCCAGUUAUGAAAAAAAAAAGAAAUCUGUGGAAGAACAGAGGUCUUUUACCUUUGUGCUUCCUCCUGGUGGCUCCGAUGGUUAAGAAUCUGCCUGCAAUGAGGGAGAGCCAGGUUUGAUCCCUGGGUCGGGAAGAUCCCCUGGAGAGAGGAAUGGCAACCCACUCCAGUAUUCUUGCCUUGUGAAUUCCAUGGACAAAGGAGACUGGUGGGCUGCAGUCCAUAGGGUCACAAAGAGUCAGACAUAACUGAGCGAGUAACACGUACUUACAACUAGUCCUCAUUACUGCUGCUGUAGAGAUGACACACUGGGUCGAUGCAAAUCAUGGGCCUAGACAAAACAGGAAGCUGAGAUUUUGAGGACCCCCUGACCUGGAGGUGCAGGGUAGCUUGGUGUUUGUGGCAAAGGCUAAGGCUUAAAGUAAUGUCAUACAGUGCCACAGAGCCAUAACAGAAUUGACAAGCGCUAUCAUCCCAAAAGACCUAGAUUUGUUUCUUUGUAAUUCUAUCAGCAAAAGUGACAUUUAGGAUGGGUUGUCCCAAUAUUCAAAUGUAGAUCAAUAGGUAGAUUAAAGCAGAGUUUUUUUUUUUUUUGAGAGAAUUAUGCUUUUAAUAUUUAUUUGUUUUAUUUGACUGUGCCAGGUCUUAGUUGCGGCACAUGGAUCUUCGAUCUUUGUUGCAGCAUGCAGGAUCUUUAGUUUCAGCAUGUGGGAUCUAGUUCCCUAACCAGGGAUUGAACCUGGGCCCCCUACAUUGGGAGCACAGAAUCUUAGCCACUGGACCUCUAGGCAAGUCCAUAGAGUGACGUACACUCAAGCGUUGUUAGAAGCUCAUGGGAUAUAUGGUCACUUGCUUGGCUAAGGAGAUGCAAUACUUCCAAGUGACAGAGGUGCUAUCUGAUAGAGCUGAUGUGCUUGAAAGCAAGAGACUCAAAGAAACCCUGAGGUCACACGGAGACUGUUGUGGUUGGUUGGGUAUGUUAGAAAUCUUUAAAUUUGUCUUCUUUGGGGAUCAAUUCUAUGGGCUGAAGCUUCUGGUUAAUGGAAUGUAGUCAGCAUAUUUCUGUUCAAAUCAGAGAAUAUGAGAUCUUCUUGGCUUAUACUCUUGUAAUAUGGCAGGACUAGUGAGAGUAAAACUGUAUCAAUGAUAUUUAUUCUAAGGGAGGAAGCCUGUCCUCCUGAGCCAAUGAGGAGAAAAAUUACUGAAUGACCUGUGAAGACAAGGAUAGCUAAGGAAUUGGGCAUUUUCUCACAUAUUCUUAACUAAAAGGGAGGAGAAAGCUUCCCUUAAACUAUGUGCAUGAGUUUAAUAGCCCUGAGCAAAGCCAUCUCUCAUAAAAGGCCACAGCUUUUUCAGUGUCAGUCACAGUCCAGUUUGUGGACAUGGGCUCCAACUGGCAGCUGUCUGAGACUGUAAGAAAAGCCCCGGGGGCAGGGCUCCCCAGUUCUGGUAUAGGACUGAGAUGGAGACAGGACAUUGCAUUGGGGUGCUUGGAGCAACAGGGAUAAUCAGAGGAGUGACUUCAGACUUUCCUUCAUCCCUAAACUGUUGGGUGAAUUAACCAUGAGGCUAUUAAGUAAUUUAAUUGCUUCAGAGACACAUGAGCAGUAUCGUUGUUAAUCCCUAACUUGAUUUCUUUAAAGUACUCUCCAAAAAUAAAAUUGUUGGGAAAGCUU